rnacentral:rRNA from 1 species
AGAGAGAGACAUGCGCGCAUAUCAAUAAGCGGAGGAAAAGAAACUAACUAGGAUUCCCUCAGUAACGGCGAGUGAAGCGGGAAGAGCUCAAAUUUGAAAUCUUCAAGGUUCUACCUUGACGAAUUGUAGUUUAAAGAAGUGUUUUCUGUUGGAGUUUUGGUAAAAGUUCUUUGGAAUAGGACAUCAUAGAGGGUGAGAAUCCCGUAUUUGACCAUUAUUUCCAGCUUUGUGAUACACUUUCAAAGAGUCGGAUUGUUUGGGAAUGCAGUCCAAAAUGGGUGGUAAAUUUCAUCUAAAGCUAAAUACUGGCGAGAGACCGAUAGCGAACAAGUACCGUGAGGGAAAGAUGAAAAGAACUUCGAAAAGAGAGUUAAACAGUACGUGAAAUUGUCAAAAGGGAAGCGUUUGACACCAGUGUUGUUUUCUCGAAAAUCAAUUAAAAAUGGCUGGAUUUUGUGUUGUAUUGACUUUAUCAGCUUUCUGCACUCUUUUUCCUGUCUUUUUUAAUGCACUUUUCGUUUAACAAGUCAACAUCAAUUUCUUUUGUUGUAAAAGGGUCAUUGGAAGGUGGCUUUCUUUUCGGAGAAAGUGUUUAUAGCCUUUGGCCUCUGCAAUCGGAGAGAUUGAGGUCUGCAGCGUAGAUCCUUCGGGGUUAGAUACAUUUGUGCUAAGCUUAUAGCCUUUCAUAGACAACUUGUUGACUAUGAUCAGUCAUGUAGCUUACUCGCUUAUGCUAUUUUACCUACGCUUAGGAUGUUGACAGCAGUAUAGACUGU